GGGGUUGUGGCUCAGUGGUAGAGCACUUGCCUCACACGCAUGAGGCACUGGGUUCAAUCCUCAACACCA
rnacentral:tRNA from 1 species